AAAACAUUGUCCACACUGUACUCCUCCCUACUAACAUUAGACACAGGGACAUCCAUGUCUUUCCAAACAGCAUGGCACACCGAACUGGGUCAUGCUAUCGAAGUGGAAACAUGGCAACGGGCAUUCACAAUACACAAGGGGAAUACACUCUGCACAUCCCAUCUAGAGACUAUCUGAAAGCUACAGUACAGAUGGUACAUGGUACCGGAGACACAAAGGUAUACCGAUUGAAUGCUGGAGAUGCAAAGGGAGGGAAGGCUCGAUGAGCCACAUAUGGUGGUCAUGCAAAAACAUCAAACCGUUCUGGAAAGAGGUGGAGAGGGUGGCGACAGAGAUGCUGGGUAGAACUUGGCCCAUAAACAUAGAACAAGGCAUACUAUUCAUGAUACCAACAACACUAGGGAAAACUGAAGAGAGAUUGAUAUUCCACCUUUUAAUAUCAGCAGUGACCAUUAUAGCAAGAGCAUGGAAGUCAACACAGACACCCACCAGAGAAGCCCUAAUAACCCAAACAUCUCUCAACUGGAAAUAUGAGCAAAGAGCAGAUAAA